rnacentral:rRNA from 1 species
GGUCAAGUGAAGAAGCGCAUACGGUGGAUGCCUUGGCAGUCAGAGGCGAUGAAAGACGUGGUAGCCUGCGAAAAGCUUCGGGGAGUCGGCAAACAGACUGUGAUCCGGAGAUGUCUGAAUGGGGGAACCCAGCCAUCAUAAGAUGGUUAUCUUACACUGAAUACAUAGGUGUAAGAGGCGAACCAGGGGAACUGAAACAUCUAAGUACCCUGAGGAAAAGAAAUCAACCGAGAUUCCCUUAGUAGUGGCGAGCGAACGGGGACCAGCCCUUAAGUUGUAUUGAGAUUAGCGGAACGCUCUGGAAAGGGCGGCCAUAGUGGGUGAUAGCCCUGUACGCGAAAAUCCCUUUGCAAUGAAAUCGAGUAGGACGGGGCACGAGAAACCUUGUCUGAAUAUGGGGGGACCAUCCUCCAAGGCUAAAUACUACUGACUGACCGAUAGUGAACCAGUACCGUGAGGGAAAGGCGAAAAGAACCGCGGAGAGCGGAGUGAAAUAGAUCCUGAAACCGUAUGCGUACAAGCAGUGGGAGCCCACGUUGUUGGGUGACUGCGUACCUUUUGUAUAAUGGGUCAGCGACUUAUUUUCAGUGGCGAGCUUAACCGAAUAGGGGAGGCGUAGCGAAAGCGAGUCUUAAUAGGGCGUCUAGUCGCUGGGAAUAGACCCGAAACCGGGCGAUCUAUCCAUGGGCAGGUUGAAGGUUGGGUAACACUAACUGGAGGACCGAACCGACUACCGUUGAAAAGUUAGCGGAUGACCUGUGGAUCGGAGUGAAAGGCUAAUCAAGCUCGGAGAUAGCUGGUUCUCCUCGAAAGCUAUUUAGGUAGCGCCUCAUGUAUCACUGUAGGGGGUAGAGCACUGUUUCGGCUAGGGGGUCAUCCCGACUUACCAAACCGAUGCAAACUCCGAAUACCUACAAGUGCCGAGCAUGGGAGACACACGGCGGGUGCUAACGUCCGUCGUGAAAAGGGAAACAACCCAGACCGUCAGCUAAGGUCCCAAAGUCAUGGUUAAGUGGGAAACGAUGUGGGAAGGCUUAGACAGCUAGGAGGUUGGCUUAGAAGCAGCCACCCUUUAAAGAAAGCGUAAUAGCUCACUAGUCGAGUCGGCCUGCGCGGAAGAUGUAACGGGGCUCAAACCAUGCACCGAAGCUACGGGUAUCACCUUUGGUGAUGCGGUAGAGGAGCGUUCUGUAAGCCUGUGAAGGUGAGUUGAGAAGCUUGCUGGAGGUAUCAGAAGUGCGAAUGCUGACAUGAGUAACGACAAUGGGUGUGAAAAACACCCACGCCGAAAGACCAAGGUUUCCUGCGCAACGUUAAUCGACGCAGGGUUAGUCGGUCCCUAAGGCGAGGCUGAAAAGCGUAGUCGAUGGAAAACAGGUUAAUAUUCCUGUACUUCUGGUUAUUGCGAUGGAGGGACGGAGAAGGCUAGGCCAGCCUGGCGUUGGUAGUCCAGGUUUAAGGUGGUAGGCUGAGAUCUUAGGUAAAUCCGGGAUCUUAAGGCCGAGAGCUGAUGACGAGUGUUCUUUUAGAACAUGAAGUGGUUGAUGCCAUGCUUCCAAGAAAAGCUUCUAAGCUUCAGGUAACCAGGAACCGUACCCCAAACCGACACAGGUGGUUGGGUAGAGAAUACCAAGGCGCUUGAGAGAACUCGGGUGAAGGAACUAGGCAAAAUGGCACCGUAACUUCGGGAGAAGGUGCGCCGGUGAGGGUGAAGCAUUUACUGCGUAAGCCCACGCCGGUCGAAGAUACCAGGCCGCUGCGACUGUUUAUUAAAAACACAGCACUCUGCAAACACGAAAGUGGACGUAUAGGGUGUGACGCCUGCCCGGUGCCGGAAGGUUAAUUGAUGGGGUUAGCGCAAGCGAAGCUCUUGAUCGAAGCCCCGGUAAACGGCGGCCGUAACUAUAACGGUCCUAAGGUAGCGAAAUUCCUUGUCGGGUAAGUUCCGACCUGCACGAAUGGCGUAACGAUGGCGGCGCUGUCUCCACCCGAGACUCAGUGAAAUUGAAAUCGCUGUGAAGAUGCAGUGUAUCCGCGGCUAGACGGAAAGACCCCGUGAACCUUUACUAUAGCUUUGCACUGGACUUUGAAUUUGCUUGUGUAGGAUAGGUGGGAGGCUUUGAAGCGUGGACGCCAGUCUGCGUGGAGCCAACCUUGAAAUACCACCCUGGCAACUUUGAGGUUCUAACUCAGGUCCGUUAUCCGGAUCGAGGACAGUGUAUGGUGGGUAGUUUGACUGGGGCGGUCUCCUCCUAAAGAGUAACGGAGGAGUACGAAGGUGCGCUCAGACCGGUCGGAAAUCGGUCGUAGAGUAUAAAGGCAAAAGCGCGCUUGACUGCGAGACAGACACGUCGAGCAGGUACGAAAGUAGGUCUUAGUGAUCCGGUGGUUCUGUAUGGAAGGGCCAUCGCUCAACGGAUAAAAGGUACUCCGGGGAUAACAGGCUGAUACCGCCCAAGAGUUCAUAUCGACGGCGGUGUUUGGCACCUCGAUGUCGGCUCAUCACAUCCUGGGGCUGAAGCCGGUCCCAAGGGUAUGGCUGUUCGCCAUUUAAAGUGGUACGCGAGCUGGGUUUAGAACGUCGUGAGACAGUUCGGUCCCUAUCUGCCGUGGACGUUUGAGAUUUGAGAGGGGCUGCUCCUAGUACGAGAGGACCGGAGUGGACGAACCUCUGGUGUUCCGGUUGUCACGCCAGUGGCAUUGCCGGGUAGCUAUGUUCGGAAAAGAUAACCGCUGAAAGCAUCUAAGCGGGAAACUUGCCUCAAGAUGAGAUCUCACUGGAACCUUGAGUUCCCUGAAGGGCCGUCGAAGACUACGACGUUGAUAGGUUGGGUGUGUAAGCGCUGUGAGGCGUUGAGCUAACCAAUACUAAUUGCCCGUGAGGCUUGACCAU